GAUGAACGCUGGCGGCGUGCCUAAUACAUGCAAGUCGAGCGAACAGACGAGGAGCUUGCUCCUCUGACGUUAGCGGCGGACGGGUGAGUAACACGUGGAUAACCUACCUAUAAGACUGGGAUAACUUCGGGAAACCGGAGCUAAUACCGGAUAAUAUAUUGAACCGCAUGGUUCAAUAGUGAAAGACGGUUUUGCUGUCACUUAUAGAUGGAUCCGCGCCGCAUUAGCUAGUUGGUAAGGUAACGGCUUACCAAGGCGACGAUGCGUAGCCGACCUGAGAGGGUGAUCGGCCACACUGGAACUGAGACACGGUCCAGACUCCUACGGGAGGCAGCAGUAGGGAAUCUUCCGCAAUGGGCGAAAGCCUGACGGAGCAACGCCGCGUGAGUGAUGAAGGUCUUCGGAUCGUAAAACUCUGUUAUUAGGGAAGAACAGAUGUGUAAGUAACUAUGCACGUCUUGACGGCACCUAAUCAGAAAGCCACGGCUAACUACGUG
rnacentral:rRNA from 1 species